rnacentral:rRNA from 1 species
UGGGGAAUAUUGCACAAUGGAGGGAACUCUGAUGCAGCGACGCCGCGUGAUUUAGAAGGCCUUCGGGUUGUAAAAAUCUUUUCUAUGGGAAGAAAAUGACAGUACCAUAGGAAUAAGGACCGGCUAAUUACGUGCCAGCAGCCGCGGUAAUACGUAAGGUCCGAGCGUUGUCCGGAAUCAUUGGGCGUAAAGGGUACGUAGGCGGGUAAGCAAGUUAGAAGUGAAAUCCUGUAGCUCAACUACAGUAAGCUUUUAAAACUGCUCAUCUUGAGAUAUGGAAGGGAAAGUGGAAUUCCUAGUGUGGCGGUGAAAUGCGCAGAUAUUAGGAGGAAUACCGGUGGCGAAGGCGACUUUCUGGCCAUAAUCUGACGCUGAGGUACGAAAGCGUGGGUAGCAAACAGG